rnacentral:tRNA from 1 species
AGGCGAGUAGCUCAACUGGCAGAGCGGCGGUCUCCAAAACCACAGGUUGCGGGUUCAAGUCCUGCCUCGCCUG